CAGCCGGAAGUUGAUCUGCAGACUUUUCCUCCUUUCCUCCUCCUUUUUUCACCGUUACGCACUUGUGGGGACUUAAGUAUAUUUCGCCUGAAACACGGUUGUUUUUGUUGGAGAGUGUUUUAUUGUGGCACUCCGAGUGUUAAGUGGAUGCACGAAAACUAUAUGACAACACUGAGUGUGCAAUAAAUCACUGCAGUCAUCUGACCUGCUGGCAAAUACGUCAUAUCCUGUCAUCAUUCCGGUGUCCUGACCGACACCGCAUCUUGUCUGCUGUAUCAACCUAAACGAGCUAGCCAGAAUCUCUUACCUCACAAACAAGAAUUGACCUCAGAUUGCCCUCACGUAGCCUAUAGGCAUCCUUUGGUGUCAGCAAUAACACUGCUGAGCCACCAGUGGGUGUGCUAUUCUUGUUUGGAUGAACACUGUAACUCUACACAAAGCAGCUGGAAGAAUUUUAGUAGAGGACAUUAUUCCGGAAGUCUUGUGGUUUGUUCAGAUGCAACUUUGAAAUCUUGGCUGCCCUAUUUUUAUUAGGGAGAAGAGACUUGCUCCUGGCAGCCCUUCCAAACAACUCAUAUUUUUUCACUCUGAUUGCAUAAACUUUUGACAUGCUAACUGAGGCCUGUACAGAUGAAGCCCUCUGUUUUUUUUCCUGCAGUUUUUCUAAGCAUUGCACAGAUUUUGGACUGAUAUUACUACUAUGUCCACUCCUGGGAAGAUUUUGGUAUUGUGUUAACCCUGUAAAGCAUGAAACAUGAAAUAAUUGAAGGAAUUUUUUUUA